rnacentral:tRNA from 1 species
GCAUUGGUGGUUCAGUGGUAGAAUUCUUGCCUUCCAUACGGAGACCCGGGUUCAAUUCCUGGUCAGUGCA